GACGAACCGUGCGAACGUUGUUCGGAAUCACUGGGCUUAAAGGGCGCGUAGGUGGUCUGUCAAGUCGGGGGUGAAAUCUUUCGGCUCAACCGGAAAACUGCCUUCGAUACUGGCAGGCUAGAGGGAGAUAGGGGUUGCGGGAACUACCAGUGGAGCGGUGAAAUGCGUUGAUAUUGGUAGGAACGCCGGUGGCGAAAGCGCGCAACUGGAUCUCUUCUGACACUGAUGCGCGAAAGCUAGGGGAGCAAACGGG
rnacentral:rRNA from 1 species